AUUAGCAUGAUCCUAUUCAUAUCCAAUUAUUUUAGUCAAUCAAACAAAAAAAUAUGUUACUUCGUUAUUAAUAAAAUAUGUUGCAAUUAUUACAAUUAUAAAACCACAGAUGUAUAACUAACAGAUUUGAACACACAAACAGAAAACCAUCAAAAUCAAAUAAUUAACUCUAAAUCUAUUUUCGCACUAGAAGAUAACAGACAAUACAAAAUAUCAUAAUCAAAUGUCUUCUUUUAAUUUAACAAUUUUAACAAUUACUGGGUGAAAAACUAACAACGGAUUUACUAAUAUCAUAACCGACCCGUGUCCCUUGCUGCUGGACAUUCCCAAUGAUCGACAAUGGCGAAUCCGUAGGCGCAAACGCCAAACAAAACUUCCCAUUCGAAUCCACCGGAAUCAAAUAAUUCUCAGGUCGCAACGACAGCGUUUUACCUCCCGCAAAAUUAAAACCCACUGUAGGCACCGCCACUCUUGUCAGCGACGAGAAAUCAUAACAUGUAUCGAAUAAUGAAAACCCGUCCGUAGGUUUUAAAUUUCUUGCUUGCUGAGUGAAGGCGUCGCGUAACGAGUUGUACGCCUGCCUCUGCAACCUAGUCACGGCGGUGCCGGAGUCGACAAUGGCUCCGCCUCUGCCGGAAUCAUCGACGGCGAAGAUUGAUGGCGGGAUGGAUAAUGGGCGGCCGCCGACGGAUAUUCCGGUCAAACCGACGUAUAAAUAUGUUUUGACUUUAGGGUUUCGGAGUAACGGCGCUGUGACGGAGCCUGCCGGUGGAGCGGAGUUGAAUUCGAGAGUGGAUGAUUUGUCGGAAUCACGGUCGACUAGACAGUAGGAAAACGACGUCGCUUUGAUUUGAGAUGGGAGUGAUAGUGGACCUCCGCCUAAUGCUAGAAGCCCGGCCGAUCCGACGAAUAACCCUUCGUUAUCGUGACCGCAACCGAUGGCUACUGACGGAACAGAUCCUGAGUUCCCGAACGACACCGUUUCUGUUGCGAAAUCGCCCACGGUAAAUGAUCCGUCUCCGUACGAUACCUGAUACAAACAAACUCGCCCCAUAAGUUGUGGUUUAGUUUUUUUUUCUUUUAACAUCAUUUUUUUUUUAUUUUCUAGAAUAAAACAUAAGUUGUGGUUUAGUUUUUCUUUUUUUUUUCUUUUAAAAUCAUUUAUUUUAUUUUCUAGAAUAAAUUUAUUAAUAUCAGCGUCUGGAUUUUUUUUGAACGGUGACUUUAUUUUUUAGUAACCCAAUGUCAAGGCAGUUGCGCCUUAAGUCGAGACAAUUGCGUUUUAAUUCUUCAGGUGACAGUUCAUGGGCAUAUUCUAACGAGAUUCCUAUAUUCAAAUGAGUUUCCGGUCAAAUUCUUUAUAUUAUGCCAAGAUUCCAACGAGAUUUCUACUU